rnacentral:rRNA from 1 species
CCCCUAGAUGUUCUGGGCCGCACGCGCGCUACACUGAACAGUUCAACAAGUCUUAACCUUGGCCGAUAGGUCUGGGUAAUCUUUGAACGCUGUUCGUGAUUGGGAUAGACCUUUGCAAUUAUGGGUCUUCAACGAGGAAUUCCUAGUAAACGCAAGUCAUCAGCUUGCAUUGAUUACGUCCCUGCCCUUUGUACACACCGCCCGUCGCACCUACCGAUUGAAUGGUCCGGUGAAAUCUCGGGACGGCGGCUUGGUCGCUUGCGUCCGACUGCUGAAACUUGAUUAAACCAUAUCAUUUAGAGGAAGGUUAAGUCGUANCA